GGCUGGUUUCAAAGAAGAGUGUAUCAAGCAUUGUUGGGAAUAAACUUGGGGAAAAGUGCCCAGGAAUAAAUUUGGAGAGAGCUGCUUCACCCUGUGACCUUUACAGAAGUAUGUCACUGUUCUGUGGUUUGGGUUUUGUCUGAGAAAAUGAGCUAGCGAUAUAUCCCAGGUGUCUCACAAGACACACAUUCCUAAAGUGUAAGGGGCCUUCUGUGAUCUUGUAGUUGACAUUGGUUGAAUACUCCCUAUGUUCAAAGCAAUGUGCUGCAGGCUAUGGGUAGGCCAAUGAACAAAAGGGACGCAGCUACUCUCUUUAGGGAGCCCACACACAACUUUCCAUGCAUGGAAUCACUUCCAAAAUGAGAACUAUCAGAGAUGACUUAGGGUUAUGGUGAAGGUAAAAGACACACUAAAUGGGAAAUCUGGAAGCUUCUUUAGACAAACCGAUUGUGUCUCUCUAUGUAUCUAGAUUAUUAAAGUGUGUUCUGAUACAGAGUUAACAUAUUUCUGAAAAGUUGUGUAAAUUGGUUGUGGUGAGCAUUUUCAGAAACCCCUGACCUCCCAUCUCAUACUUUGUUCUUUGAAAUUAAUGUGAAAAAUGAACACUAUCUUGGCUUUCCUUUCUUUCUCUCAUUUCUCCCCAUAUACCUAUUAUUUCUGAUUUAUUUGUAAAAUAAAUAUGUGCUUUAAAGAUUGUUUUUUUUUUUUCCUUAACAAAAAGCUUGUAGACAUGUUUUCUUCAGGUUAUUUUCUUAGUUAUUUUCUGCUAUGUCUAAUAUCAACAUUGCCACAGGGAGUGUGUAAAAAGGGAGGAAUGCGGGUGUUUUUCUAUUUGUUUUUAGUACCAUAGAGUGGAAAAAACAUGGACCAGUUAGAAGCAGCUUCAUCGCUAUCUGUGUAGGUGACCUUAGAAUGCCGGUGACUUAGACUUCAGUGCGCAAAGAAUUGGAUUGUUGUUAAUGCAAAUAACCCAGUCCUCAACACCAGAAAUUCUUUCUUGCGUUUAAAAGUAGUCCUGUACACAGUUAGAAACGCUUUUAGCUGCAAGGAGUAAAACAGUAAAUAAUAAUAUCUCACAUAAUAAAUCUCUUAAUAAUGGUUCUAGGGUUGAUGCACCUCAACAAUGUCAUCAGGGUCCCCGGUUCUUUCUUUUUGUCCUACCUUCUCAACAUUUUAGUGUUUCACCCAGUCCUCUCAACUUAUGGCCAGAGAUAACUGCUGCUCCCAGUGACACAGUCUCUCACAUGCUCAAGGAAUGGCACCAGACAGCUCUCCUGUGUACUUUUAUCUUUUUUCAGAAGCAAAAGCUUUCUCAAGAACUCCCCACUCCUGGUGGAGUCUCCUUAUAUGUUUUUGGCUGAUUCUAGCUGCAAAGAGAUGGAAAUGUAUUAGGGUUCUUCAGAGAAACAGUAGGAUGCAGAUAUAUAUAAUGAAAAUAAGAUUUAAUAUGAUAAAUUGGCCAUGCAGUUAUGAAGGUUAAGAAGUAAGUCCCACAAUCUGCCAUCUGCAGAAAGCUGGUGGUGGUGUUACCAGAAAGGGGUCCUGAUCCAGACCCCAAGAGAGUGUUCUUGGAUCUCCCACAAGAAAGAAUUUGACGCAAGUCCAUAGAGUAAAGUGAAAGCAAGUUUAUUAAAGUCAAGAAAUAAAGAAUGGCUACUCCAUAGGCAGCGCUGCUGCAAGGGCUGCUCAGCUCCUUAUACUUAUUGUUGCUUCUUGAUUAUAUGCUAAACAAGGGAUGGAUUAUUCAUGAGUUUUCCAGGAAAGGGGUGGGCAAUUCCCAGAACUGAGGGUUCCUCCCCUUUUUAGACAAUAUAGGGUAAAUUCCUGACAUUGCCAUGGCAUCUAUAAACUGUCAUGUCCCUGGUAGGAGUGUCUUUUAGCAUGCUAAUGCAUUAUAAUUAGCGUAAAACGAGCAGUGAGGAUAACCAGAGGCCACUCUCGUCGCCAUCUUGGUAUGGGUGGGUUUUGUCCAGUUUCUUUACUGCGACCUGUUUUAUCAGCAAGACCUUUAUGACCUGUAUCUUGUGCCCACCUCUUAUCCUGUGACUUAGAAUGCCUAACCUCCUGGGAAUGCAGCCCAGCAGGUCUCAGCCUUAUUUUACCUAGCCCCUAUGCAAGAUGGAGUCACUCUCGUUCAAAUGCCUCUGACAGUGUAAUUCAGUCCAAGUCCAAAGGAUUGAGAACCAGGGGAGUUGAUGGUGCAAAUCCCAGUCUAAGGACUAGAGAUGAUGAGAUGACCCAGGUCAAGAGAUGAGGCAGGAAAAAGAGGGCAAAUUCCUCCUUCCUCCACCUUUUGUUCUAUUGAGACCCUCAAUAGAUUAGAUGAUGCCUACCCAUGUCGGGGAGGACAAUCUACUGAGUCUGUUGAUUCAAACCCUAGUGUUAUUUGGGAACACUCUCAUAGACACACUUGGAAACAAUGUUUAAUCUGGGAACCCCAUGGCCAGUCAAGUUGCUCCAUGAAAUUAACCUUCACAGGAUGGUAUUGGGAAAGAGAAAUGUGAUAACAUGACUAGAGCUGAAAAUUGAGACAACCAUGGUUUUUGUCCCCUUUGGCCAGGCAUGUGGCCAUCUGAGCACACCUGAGGUCCUGCUGUAAGUGAGGUAGUAGAGGAUGGCUGUUAGGGACACAGUAUCAGUGGCUACCACCACCCUGUGGGCAAUCUGAUGCUGGUGUCCAUUAACCACACUUUAAACCACUGGUUGCCAAACAUCUGGGUUUUAUCAGAAUCAUCCAGGAGCUUUCAUAAGUGCAAGAGGUCUGGGCCUCCCUGAUUCAGUGGGUCAGGGUUGAGGCCUCAGCAUCAUGACUUUCUAAAAGCUCAUUAGCUUAAAAACAAAACAAAGCAAAGCAAACCUCAGGUGAUUCGGUGAUUCUGGUGCACAGCUAGGAUUGAGAACUUACUGGACCAAUCAUUUCAUUUCUCCGAAGAGCAGUUAGAAGCCCAUGGAGAUAACAUUGGGAUAAUAAUAGUGUUUGUCACAGAGGGCAAGUGUGAGGUAUAAAUGGUUUGGUAUACAUAAAGUUGAAGCUCAAGCCAGCACAUAAUAGUUUUGGAUCUCAGUCUGCCUUCCCCUUAUGCCAGAUGCCAGAUGGUUUUAGAGGCAGAUUCCAGUUUCUUCCAAAGAAAGUGUUUUUCAAAAAUAGUGACAAGUAGACUUGUUUGUCUUGGCUACUGUACUAGUUCCCUAUUGCUGCAGCAACAAAUUACCACAAACUUAGCAGCUUAAAACGACACCAGUUUAUCAUCUCACACUUUUGUAGGUUACAACUCCAGGCAGGAUAGGUUGGGUUCUAUACUCAGAGUCUCACAAGCCAAAAUUGAAGUAUUGUCGGGCUUUUCCCUGGAGGCUUGAGUAAGAAUCCACUUCCAAGCUCAUUGAGGGUAUUGGCAGAAUUCCAUCCUUGUGGUUUUAAGACUGAAGUCCCUGUUUUCUUGCUGGAUGUCAGCUGGGGUCCUCUCUCUGCUCCUAGAGGCCAUCCACAUUGCUUCUCAUAUGGUCCCCUCGAUCUUCAAAGCAGCAACUCUUUAACUUCCUCUUCUGCCCCUUUGGAAAAGCUAAUUUUACAGGCUUAUGUGAUUACACUAGGCCCAUGCAAGCACACUCCUUAUUCUAAGGUUAAUUGUACCUUAUAACAUAAUCAUGGAAGUGAUAUCUCAAUCUUCACAGGUUCUGAGGAUUAGGAUGGGACAUCCCUGAGGGCAUUUUCAGAAAUUCUGCCUACCAUAGCUGUUUGUCCACUUCCCUGUUCAGCACCCUUUUCCCCCAGUGGCUCUCAUUCAGCCUUCAAUCUUAUCAGCUGGUAAUUACCAAUCUCCAGGUGAAGUAUUAGCACAUAUCAUGUCUUUCACUGCAGCUCCAUGUAGGUAUAAUCAUAUCCUAUGUUGGGCAAAAACCAAGGCGCAGGAAUGAUAGCAAUUUCACUUGCUGCAUUUGUGGGUCCCAUGGACAUAGAGGAAUAGCAGGCUGACCUGACCUUGAGAGGUUCGGGGCCUCAGGUAUUCAAGCCUAGGAUUUCAGUUAGACACAAAAUGAAAAACAGCAAGAGGAGAUGGGUGAGUGACACUGACAGGUAAGCACUUCUGGAGUUCAGAAGUUGUCAUGAAUAAAGAUGAUUUCAGAGCAGAUAGGUCUGGGAAAUCUUUCCACGGCCACUCCAAUCACACUGCACUGGCAGCCACCCACUUCCCUCCUUCCUAAGCUCAAUUCUCCUUUUCACAGAAGCCCAGAUUGGUUCUGGCAGAUCUGAAAUUACUGUUUUGGAGCAAGGAAUACCUUGUAGUUGUCCAGAGAAUUUUUUGGCAGUUCUUAGGCCAAUAUUAUUUUAGUCUGCUUUUCAAUCUUCAAAUUGGAAUUUUUUAAAUAUUGAAAAUCAAGCCAGGCACACUGGCUUAUGCCUGUAAACCCAGCAUUUUGGGAGGCUGAGGCAGGAGGAUUGUUUGCGCUCAGGAGUUUGAGACUAGCCUGGGCAACAUAGGAGACCUCGUGUCUACAAAAAUUUUUUUUAAAAUGCUGGGCAUGGUGGCACAUGCUUGUGGUCCCAGCUGCUCAGGAGGCUGAGGUGGGAGAAUCUCUUGAGCCCAGGAGUUUGAGACUGUCGUGAGCCAUGAUUAUGCCACUGCACUGCAGCCUGGGUGACACAGUGAGACCCUGUCUCAAAAUAGAAUUAGAAAAAAGAAAAACGACCAAACAAAAAUCAAAGCACAAAGAAAUCUACUGGAAAUGGGAGAGUCUGGGAUAAUCUUGAAAAACCAAAAUGAAAAAAAUUACAGGUUUGAAGACAGAAGCUGUAGAUGAGCUUCAUGGUCACUUUUUUAAAAAACUGUCAUUCUAUAGGGAACACUGUGGUAUGUGGGCCAGUCCCCACUUCAAGUUUGAGGCACCCAUUCUUCAGCUGCUGGGAGUGUUGGCAGCUGAUGACCCUCAGCUGAGGUCUUCUCAGGGAAUUAAGAGGAGUUGGAGAGAGCCAUCUUGUCCAAGGUCAUGGCUCCUCCCUCCUACCUUGUCCAAGGUCAGUCCUCCUCCAAUGACUGGUAAAUAUUGGGGUAGCAAGGACAGACUCAAGUAGAACAAGACUGAAGGGCUAUCCUGGCUGCACAGUUUCCCUGAGGAACUGGCUUAGGCCUUUGCUAGGACUGCUUAAUGGUCCAGCUUCUCCCUCUACCCAAUUCUGCUCCCUCCAUUUCCCCAUAGGCGUCAAUGUCAAAGGUACUACGGGGUAUCCAAUCUUUUGGCUUCCCUGGGCCACAAUGGAACAAUUGUCUUGGGCCACACAUAAAAUACACUAACAAUAGCUGAUGAGCUUAAAAAAAGAAUUUUUUUAAAGAAAGUUGACAAAUUUGUGUU
ensembl:lncRNA